rnacentral:tRNA from 1 species
CUCCGCUUGGUGUAGUUGGUUUAUCACGUUCGGCUGUAAUAUCAAUUGUUACCGAAAGGUCCCUAGUUCGAUUCUGGGAGCGGAGA